GACGAACGCUGGCGGCGUGCCUAAUACAUGCAAGUCGAGCGGACUGAAUGGGAGCUUGCUCUUGUUCGGUCAGCGGCGGACGGGUGAGUAACACGUGGGCAACCUGCCCGCAAGACCGGGAUAACUCCGGGAAACCGGAGCUAAUACCGGAUAACACCGAAGACCGCAUGGUCUUUGGUUGAAAGGCGGCGCAAGCUGCCACUUGCGGAUGGGCCCGCGGCGCAUUAGCUAGUUGGUGAGGUAACGGCUCACCAAGGCGACGAUGCGUAGCCGGCCUGAGAGGGUGACGGGCCACACUGGGACUGAGACACGGCCCAGACUCCUACGGGAGGCAGCAGGAGGGAAGCUUCCGCAAUGGGCGAAAGCCUGACGGAGCGACGCCGCGUGAGCGAAGAAGGCCUUCGGGUCGUAAAGCUCUGUUGUGAGGGACGAAGGAGCGCCGUUUGAAGAAGGCGGCGCGGUGACGGUACCUCACGAGGAAGCCCCGGCUAACUACGUG
rnacentral:rRNA from 1 species